UGGGGAAUUUUGGACAAUGGGCGCAAGCCUGAUCCAGCCAUGCCGCGUGCGGGAAGAAGGCCUUCGGGUUGUAAACCGCUUUUGUCAGGGAAGAAAUCUUCUGAGUUAAUACCUCGGGAGGAUGACGGUACCUGAAGAAUAAGCACCGGCUAACUACGUGCCAGCAGCCGCGGUAAUACGUAGGGUGCAAGCGUUAAUCGGAAUUACUGGGCGUAAAGCGUGCGCAGGCGGUUUUGUAAGACAGAGGUGAAAUCCCCGGGCUCAACCUGGGAACUGCCUUUGUGACUGCAAGGCUUGAGUGCGGCAGAGGGGGAUGGAAUUCCGCGUGUAGCAGUGAAAUGCGUAGAUAUGCGGAGGAACACCGAUGGCGAAGGCAAUCCCCUGGGCCUGCACUGACGCUCAUGCACGAAAGCGUGGGGAGCAAACAGGAUUAGAUACCCUGGUAGUCCACGCCCUAAACGAUGUCAACUGGUUGUUGGGAAGGUUCCUUCUCAGUAACGUAGCUAACGCGUGAAGUUGACCGCCUGGGGAGUACGGCCGCAAGGUUGAAACUCAAAUGAAUUGAC
rnacentral:rRNA from 1 species